rnacentral:rRNA from 1 species
UACGGAAGGCAGCACUGGGGAAUAUUGCACAAUGGGCGAAAGCCUGAUGCAGCUAUGCCGCGUGUAUGAAGAAGGCCUUAGGGUUGUAAAGUACUUUCAUCGGGGAGGAAAAAAACAAAACUAAUAAUUUUAUUUCUUGACGUUACCCGAAAAAGAAGCACCGGCUAACUCCGUGCCAGCAGCCGCGGUAAUACGGAGGGUGCUAGCGUUAAUCAGAAUUACUGGGCGUAAAGAGCACGUAGGUGGUUUUUUUAAGUCAGAUGUGAAAUCCCUGGGCUUAACCUGGAACUGCAUUUUGAAACUGAAAUACUAGAGUAUCGUAGAGGGAGGUAGAAUUCUAGGUGUAGCGGUGAAAUGCGUAGAUAUCUGGAGGAAUACCUGUGGCGAAAGCGGCCUCCUAAACGAAUACUGACACUGAGGUGCGAAAGCGUUGGGGAGCAAACGAGGGAUUUAGGAUACC